UUAUUAAAUGAAGACCUGAAUGAAUGGCAAAACGAGGGCUUAACUGUCUCCUUCUCCCGGUCAGUGAAAUUAAGCUCCCCGUGCAGAAGCGGGGAUAUCAACAUAAGACGAGAAGACCCUAUGGAGCUUUAGACACAAGAACAGAUCAUGUUGAACCCGUAAUAUAAUGCGGAAGAAACCUAUUGAACCCCUGCUCUCAUGUCUUCGGUUGGGGCGACCACGGGGAAACAAAAAACCCCCGAGUGGAGCAGGAGUACGUACUCUUAAAACCAAGAGCCACCGCUCUAAGAAUCAGAACAUCUGACCUUAAAGAUCCGGCAUGACCGAUCAACGAACUAAGUUACCCUAGGGAUAACAGCGCAAUCCCCUUUUAGAGCCCAUAUCGACAAGGGGGUUUACGACCUCGAUGUUGGAUCAGGACAUCCUAAUGGUGCAGCCGCUAUUAAGGGUUCGUUUGUUNAAC
rnacentral:rRNA from 1 species